GAUGAACGCUAGCGAUAGGCUUAACACAUGCAAGUCGAGGGGCAGCACGGUGUAGCAAUACACUGGUGGCGACCGGCGUACGGGUGCGUAACACGUAUGCAACCUACCCGCUAUUGGGGGAUAACCCGGCGAAAGUCGGACUAAUAUCCCAUAUUAUUCUUACCGGGCAUCCGGUGAGUCUGAAAGAUUUAUCGAUUGCGGAUGGGCAUGCGGAUGAUUAGCUAGUAGGUGGGGUAACGGCUCACCUAGGCGACGAUCAUUAGGGGUUCUGAGAGGAAGGUCCCCCACACUGGAACUGAGACACGGUCCAGACUCCUACGGGAGGCAGCAGUGAGGAAUAUUGGUCAAUGGGCGCUAGCCUGAACCAGCCAAGUCGCGUGAAGGAUGACAGAUCUAUGGUUUGUAAACUUCUUUUGCAGGGGAGUAAAGUGCGACACGUGUGUUGUAUUGCAAGUACCCUGCGAAUAAGCAUCGGCUAACUCCGUGCC
rnacentral:rRNA from 1 species